rnacentral:rRNA from 1 species
AGCAGCCGCGGUAAUUCCAGCUCCAAUAGCGUAUAUUAAAGUUGUUGCAGUUAAAAAGCUCGUAGUUGAAUUUCGGGAUCAAUAUGUUGGUCGUGCCUUGGUACGUACUAAUUUAUUGGUUUCUUCCUUCUGACGAACCAUGACGUCAUUAAUUUGGUGUUAUGGGGAAUCAGGACUGUUACUUUGAAAAAAUUAGAGUGUUUAAAGCAGGCUCACGCUUGAAUACAUUAGCAUGGAAUAAUGAAAUAGGACGUUUGAUUCUAUUUUGUUGGUUUCUAGGAUCGACGUAAUGAUUAAUAGGGAUAGGUUGGGGGCAUUAGUAUUCAAUUGUCAGAGGUGAAAUUCUUAGGAUUUAUUGAAGACUAACUACUGACGAAAGCAUUUGACCAAGGAUGUUUUACAUUUAAUCAAGAACGAAAGUUAGGGGAUCGAAGACGAUCAGAUACCGUCGUAGUCUUAACCAUAAACUA